UUUUUUUUUGACAACAUCCCUUUAAAAGUUUCUAAUUUAUUAUAUAACUCUUUCAAAUUUUUAUUAGGUGAACUAAUCUGAGCAACACGGUGAAUCGUUUACCGUCUUUAAAAAGUGAUGAGUCGUUUUUGCAUUGUUACUAUUUUUUUAUAAGUUGUAAGAAAUUUUAUUAGAUUGUUAAAAUUAUAUGGAGAUUAUUAGAUUUUUUUUAUUGUUAAAAUUAUAUGAAUAGAUUGUUAGGAUACAUUAGGUUGUUAGGAUUAUAUGUGAUUUGUUAAAAUUUUUAUAGAAUUAUUCAGAUUAUAUAUGAAAAAUAAAAAAAAUCUAAUAAUCUCCAUAUAAUUUUAACAAUCUAAUAAAAUUUCUUACAACUUAUAAAAAAAUAGUAACAAUGCAAAAACGACUCANAUAUGAAUAGAUUGUUAGGAUACAUUAGGUUGUUAGGAUUAUAUGUGAUUUGUUAAAAUUUUUAUAGAAUUAUUCAGAUUAUAUAUGAAAAAUAAAAAUAAACGAUAAAUUAUUUACUACUUUCUCCUUUAAGAAAAUGACGAUGAAUAAUUUACCAUCUUUAGAAAAUAAGAAAUGGAUGGUAAAUUAUUCACGUCUUCUAAAUUUCAUCAAAGACGAUAAAUAAUUGACGCUCUUUUAAUUAUUUUUUUAACCCUAUAUUUGAGUUAAAUAAAAUAAAAUUAUUUGGCCAAAUAAAUUUUUUUAAAAGACUAUUUGACUAAUUAUAGAUUUUUAAAAGAUUAAAAUAAAAAAACAGUCCUGCAGUU
rnacentral:lncRNA from 1 species